rnacentral:rRNA from 1 species
CCUAAUACAUGCAAGUCGAGCGAACAGAUGAGAAGCUUGCUUCUCUGAUGUUAGCGGCGGACGGGUGAGUAACACGUGGGUAACCUACCUAUAAGACUGGGAUAACUCCGGGAAACCGGGGCUAAUACCGGAUAAUAUUUUGACCCGCAUGGUUCAAUAGUGAAAGACGGUUUCGGCUGUCACUUAUAGAUGGACCCGCGCCGUAUUAGCUAGUUGGUAAGGUAACGGCUUACCAAGGCGACGAUACGUAGCCGACCUGAGAGGGUGAUCGGCCACACUGGAACUGAGACACGGUCCAGACUCCUACGGGAGGCAGCAGUAGGGAAUCUGCCGCAAUGGGCGAAAGCCUGACGGAGCAACGCCGCGUGAGUGAUGAAGGUCUUCGGAUCGUAAAACUCUGUUGUUAGGGAGAACAAAUUUGUUAGUAACUGAACAAGUCUUGACGGUACCUAACCAGAAAGCCACGGCUAACUACGUGCCAGCAGCC